AGAGUUUGAUCCUGGCUCAGGACGAACGCUGGCGGCGUGCCUAACACAUGCAAGUCGAACGAGUUGUUUAUAGUAGCAAUAUUACAAACAGCAAGUGGCGAACGGGUGAGUAACACGUAGAUAAUCUGCCUUUCAGACGGGGACAACUCAGGGAAACUUGUGCUAAUACCCGAUGAGACUACGGGAGGGGUGGGCUCCUGGUAGCCAAAGUGGGGGCAACCUCACGCUGAAAGAUGAGUCUGCGUCCUAUCAGCUAGUUGGUGGGGUAAAAGCCUACCAAGGCGAAGACGGGUAGCCGGCCUGAGAGGGUGAACGGCCACACUGGGACUGAGACACGGCCCAGACUCCUACGGGAGGCAGCAGUGAGGAAUUUUCCGCAAUGGGCGCAAGCCUGACGGAGCGACGCCGCGUGAGGGAUGACGGCCUUCGGGUUGUAAACCUCUGUCCUUGGUGAAGAAAAAAAUGACGGUAGCCAAGGAGGAAGCCCCGGCUAACUACGUGCCAGCAGCCGCGGUAAUACGUAGGGGGCAAGCGUUGUCCGGAAUGAUUGGGCGUAAAGGGCGCGUAGGCGGCCUGUUAAGUCUGGAGUGAAAGUCCCGCUUUCAAGGUGGGAAUUGCUUUGGAAACUGGCGGGCUGGAGUGCAGGAGAGGUUAGUGGAAUUCCCGGUGUAGCGGUGAAAUGCGUAGAGAUCGGGAGGAACACCAGUGGCGAAGGCGACUAACUGGACUGUAACUGACGCUGAGGCGCGAAAGUGUGGGGAGCAAACAGGAUUAGAUACCCUGGUAGUCCACACGGUAAACGAUGAAUGCUAGGUGUAGGGGGUAUCGACCCCUUCUGUGCCGGAGUAAACACAAUAAGCAUUCCGCCUGGGGAGUACGGCCGCAAGGUUGAAACUCAAAGGAAUUGACGGGGGCCCGCACAAGCAGCGGAGCAUGUGGUUUAAUUCGAAGCAACGCGAAGAACCUUACCAAGGCUUGACAUCCUGCUAAACUCAUGGAAACAUGAGGUCCCUUCGGGGGAGCAGAGACAGGUGGUGCAUGGUUGUCGUCAGCUCGUGUCGUGAGAUGUUGGGUUAAGUCCCGCAACGAGCGCAACCCUUGUUGCUAGUUACCAGCACGUAAUGGUGGGAACUCUAGCGAGACUGCCGUUGACAAAACGGAGGAAGGUGGGGAUGACGUCAAAUCAUCAUGCCCCUUAUGUCUUGGGCUACACACGUACUACAAUGGCCUGAACAGAGGGAAGCGAAACUGCGAAGUUAAGCGAACCCCUUAAAACAGGUCCCAGUUCGGAUUGUAGGCUGCAACUCGCCUACAUGAAGUUGGAAUCGCUAGUAAUCGCAGGUCAGCAUACUGCGGUGAAUACGUUCCCGGGCCUUGUACACACCGCCCGUCA
rnacentral:rRNA from 1 species